rnacentral:rRNA from 1 species
UACAGAGGUCUCAAGCGUUGUUCGGAUUCAUUGGGCGUAAAGGGUGCGUAGGUGGUGGGGUAAGUCGGAUGUGAAAUCCCGGGGCUCAACCCCGGAACUGCAUUCGAUACUGCCUUGCUCGAGUACUGGAGAGGAGACUGGAAUUUACGGUGUAGCGGUGAAAUGCGUAGAUAUCGUAAGGAAGACCAGUGGCGAAGGCGGGUCUCUGGACAGUUCCUGACGCUGAUGCGCGAAAGCCAGGGGAGCAAACGGG